AUACCUUUCUCGGCCUUUUGGCUAAGAUCAAGUUUAGUAUCUGUUCUUAUCAGUUUAAUAUCUGAUAUGUAAGUCAUCGAUUCAUACGAUAUUAACUCAAUUAUUUUGGGGGAGAGUCCAGAUUGAGCAUCU
rnacentral:snRNA from 1 species